rnacentral:rRNA from 1 species
CUGGCGGCGUGCCUAAUACAUGCAAGUCGAGCGAGCGGAACUAACAGAUUUACUUCGGUAAUGACGUUAGGAAAGCGAGCGGCGGAUGGGUGAGUAACACGUGGGGAACCUGCCCCAUAGUCUGGGAUACCACUUGGAAACAGGUGCUAAUACCGGAUAAGAAAGCAGAUCGCAUGAUCAGCUUUUAAAAGGCGGCGUAAGCUGUCGCUAUGGGAUGGCCCCGCGGUGCAUUAGCUAGUUGGUAAGGUAAAGGCUUACCAAGGCGAUGAUGCAUAGCCGAGUUGAGAGACUGAUCGGCCACAUUGGGACUGAGACACGGCCCAAACUCCUACGGGAGGCAGCAGUAGGGAAUCUUCCACAAUGGACGCAAGUCUGAUGGAGCAACGCCGCGUGAGUGAAGAAGGUUUUCGGAUCGUAAAGCUCUGUUGGUAGUGAAGAAAGAUAGAGGUAGUAACUGGCCUUUAUUUGACGGUAAUUACUUAGAAAGUCACGGCUAACUACGUGCC